rnacentral:rRNA from 1 species
AGAGUUUGAUCAUGGCUCAGAACGAACGCUGGCGGCAGGCCUCAAACAUGCAAGUCUAGGGGGCGUAGCAAUACGUCACCGGCGGACGGGUGCGUAACACGUGGGAAUGUACCUAUUGGUUCGGAACAACGCAGGGAAACUUGCGCUAAUACCGGAUGUGCCCGAAAGGGGAAAGAUUUAUCGCCAAUAGAUCAGCCCGCGUAGGAUUAGCUAGUUGGUAGGGUAACGGCCUACCAAGGCAACGAUCCUUAGCUGUUCUGAGAGGAAGAUCAGCCACACUGGGACUGAGACACGGCCCAGACUCCUACGGGAGGCAGCAGUUGGGAAUCUUGGACAAUGGGGGAAACCCUGAUCCAGCCAUGCCGCGUGAGUGAUGAAGGCCUUAGGGUUGUAAAGCUCUUUUACCCGGGAAGAUAAUGACUGUACCGGGAGAAUAAGCUCCGGCUAACUUCGUGCCAGCAGCCGCGGUAAUACGAAGGGGGCUAGCGUUGUUCGGAAUUACUGGGCGUAAAGCGCGCGCAGGCGGCCAAACAAGUCAGGGGUGAAAGCCCAGAGCUCAACUCUGGAACUGCCCUUGAAACUUUUUGGCUAGAGUACGGGAGAGGUGAGUGGAAUUCCCAGUGUAGAGGUGAAAUUCGUAGAUAUUGGGAAGAACACCGGUGGCGAAGGCGGCUCACUGGCCCGUUUCUGACGCUCAGGCGCGACAGCGUGGGGAUCAAACAGGAUUAGAUACCCUAGUAGUCC